rnacentral:rRNA from 1 species
AUUGAACGCUGGCGGCGUGCUUAACACAUGCAAGUCGAUCGGUAACAGGUGUAGCAAUACAUGCUGACGAGAGGCGGACGGGUGAGGAAUAUUUGGGAAUCUGCCCAUCAGCGGGGGACAACCCGGGGAAACCCGGGCUAAUACCGCAUACGCUCUACGGAGGAAAGCCGGGGACCGCAAGGCCUGGCACUGAUGGAUGAGCCCAAAUCGGAUUAGCUAGUUGGCGGGGUAACGGCCCACCAAGGCGCCGAUCCGUAGCUGGUCUGAGAGGACGAUCAGCCACACCGGAACUGAGACACGGUCCGGACUCCUACGGGAGGCAGCAGUGGGGAAUAUUGGACAAUGGGGGAAGCCCUGAUCCAGCGACGCCGCGUGGGUGAAGAAGGCCUGCGGGUUGUAAAGCCCUUUCGGUAGGGACGAAAGCUCUUGCUCCAACAAAGCAGGAGGUUGACUUAACCUACAUAAGAAGCACCGGCUAACUCUGUGCCAGCCGCCGCCGUAACAC